rnacentral:rRNA from 1 species
CCUACGGGAGGCAGCAGUGAGGAAUAUUGGUCAAUGGGCGGAAGCCUGAACCAGCCAAGUAGCGUGCAGGAUGACGGCCCUACGGGUUGUAAACUGCUUUUAUACGGGAAUAACGCGCCUUACGUGUAGGGCUUUGCAUGUACCGUAUGAAUAAGGACCGGCUAAUUCCGUGCCAGCAGCCGCGGUAAUACGGAAGGUCCGGGCGUUAUCCGGUUUUAUGGGGUUAAAAGGGUGCGUAGGCGGUCUGUUAAGUCAGCGGUAAAAGGCCGGGGUUCAACCCCGGCCCGCCGUUGAAACUGGCAGUCUCGAGUUGGAGAGAAGUAUGCGGAAUGCGCGGUGUAGCGGUGAAAUGCAUAGAUAUCGCGCAGAACUCCGAUUGCGAAGGCAGCAUGCCGGCUCCACACUGACGCUGAGGCACGAAAGCGUGGGUAUCGAACAGGAUUAGAUACCCCUGUAGUC